GUGUCUCUGGCUGAGCCGCCAGUGGAUGUCGUUGUUCUGUUCCUUGAGCGCGAUGUCACUCCUUUAGCAUGACCUCAAACGCGGCGGGGGCUGGGACCGCCAGUCAUCCUCCGUGCGAGGGCCGGGGCGGGCGCGGGCGGGACCCAGCCCCGCCGCCCGCCGCACUUUUGUGGUGCCGCCGCCGCCGCGGGCUCCCCUUUCUCGGUGGGGCUGGCCGCGGGGCGGGCGAUGCUCCGCGCUCUCUGAGCCGCCGCACCGCGUCCGUCGUCCGUCCCUCCGUCCGUCCCCGCGGAGGCCGCGCAGGAUGCUGCGGAGGGGCGCGGAGGCGGCGCUGGCCCUGCUGCUGGCGGCGGCGUGGCUGGCGCAGCCCCUGCGCGGCGGCUACCACGGCGGGAACAUGUUCGCCGUGCAGACGGGCCAGCCCGACCCCUGCUACGACGAGCACGGGCUGCCCCGCCGGUGCAUCCCCGACUUCGUCAACUCGGCUUUUGGGAAGGAGGUGAAGGUGUCGAGCACCUGCGGGAAGCCGCCGUCGCGGUACUGUGUGGUGACGGAGAAGGGCGAGGAGCAGGUCCGCUCCUGCCACCUCUGCAACGCCUCCGACCCCAAGCGCGCCCACCCGCCCUCCUUCCUCACCGACCUCAACAACCCGCACAACCUGACCUGCUGGCAGUCCGACAGCUACGUCCAGUACCCCCACAACGUCACCCUCACCCUAUCCCUGGGCAAGAAAUUCGAGGUGACCUACGUCAGCCUGCAGUUCUGCUCACCGCGCCCCGAGUCCAUGGCUAUCCACAAGUCCAUGGACUACGGCAAGACCUGGGUGCCCUUCCAGUUCUACUCCACGCAGUGCCGCAAGAUGUACAACAAGCCGAGCCGCGCCGCCAUCACGAAGCAGAACGAGCAGGAGGCGGUCUGCACCGACUCGCACACCGACGUGCGUCCCCUCUCCGGCGGCCUCAUCGCCUUCAGCACCCUGGACGGCCGCCCCACGGCCCACGACUUCGACAACUCGCCAGUGCUGCAGGACUGGGUGACGGCCACCGACAUCAGGGUGACCUUCAGCCGCCUCCACACCUUCGGCGACGAGAGCGAGGAUGACUCCGAGCUGGCCCGCGACUCCUACUUCUACGCCGUCUCCGACUUGCAGGUCGGCGGGCGAUGCAAGUGCAACGGCCACGCGUCGCGCUGUGUCCGUGACCGCGACGACAGCUUGGUGUGCGACUGCAAGCACAACACGGCCGGCCCCGAGUGCGACCGCUGCAAGCCCUUCCACUACGACCGGCCCUGGCAGCGAGCUACGGCCCGGGAAGCCAACGAGUGUGUGGCCUGCAACUGCAACCUGCAUGCCCGGCGGUGCCGCUUCAACAUGGAGCUCUACAAGCUGUCCGGGCGCAAGAGCGGCGGCGUGUGCCUCAACUGCCGGCACAACACUGCUGGGCGGCACUGCCACUACUGCAAGGAGGGCUUCUACCGGGACCUCAGCAAGCCCAUCUCCCACCGCAAGGCCUGCAAAGAGUGCGAUUGCCAUCCCGUGGGUGCCGCCGGCCAAACCUGUAACCAAACCACAGGCCAAUGUCCCUGUAAAGACGGUGUCACCGGCAUCACGUGCAAUCGAUGCGCCAAAGGCUACCAGCAAAGCCGGUCUCCCAUUGCCCCCUGCAUAAAAAUCCCCGCCGCUCCCCCCACCACGGCCACCAGCAGCACAGAGGAGCCUGCAGAUUGUGACUCAUACUGCAAAGCCUCCAAGGGGAAACUGAAGAUCAACAUGAAGAAGUACUGUAAGAAAGACUAUGCUGUCCAGAUCCACAUCCUGAAAGCGGAAAAAAAUGCCGACUGGUGGAAGUUCACGGUCAACAUCAUCUCCGUCUACAAACAAGGGAGCAACCGGAUACGGCGAGGAGACCAGACCCUGUGGAUCCACUCCAAGGACAUAGCGUGCAAGUGCCCCAAAAUCAAGCCCAUGAAGAAGUAUUUGCUGCUGGGCAACAACGAGGACUCUCCUGACCAGAGCGGCAUCAUUGCGGACAAAACCAGCCUGGUGAUACAGUGGCGGGAUACGUGGGCUCGGCGGCUCAGGAAGUUCCAGCAGCGGGAGAAGAAGGGGAAGUGUAAGAAAGCCUAAAGGAGGAGAAGGCGACGGGAGUGCGCGAGAGGGAGAGACUGACUGUGCAUGCUGCUUUGUGUAGAGCUGGGGCGGGCAGGGGCCGGCAAUGGGGCGGCGGGAGGACGGUUGCACUGUCGGGAUGGGCUGGGGGGACAGGAGGGAGCAGAGGGCUGGGGGCUGCCAGGUUUGCACCUCAUAUUCCAGGAGAAAUCAAAGCAAAACCCACAACAACGAAUCUCACCCAUGGACACAAGAGGCUGUGGCUGCGGGUGUGCAGUACCCAGCACCCCCAGUCUCAGUCUGCCCUGCUGGCUGAAGAAAUCAGAGACACCAAACUGCCCUCCAGCUGCUAACAUCUGCUGCUUCCAGAGCUCAGCAUGGGAACAUCAAACCUGUAAGAAACAAAUCAACAGCAACGCUGGAAAUUAACUCCCCGUCCCCCAAAACUAUAUUCCCAGCUUAGGCUGAACAAGAAAGUUGUUGUAGAGGAAACUCAACAGAGACUUGUCGCUGAGGACAGACCUGAGGAUCGACUGAUGGGUUAUUUGAACACUCUUUGGUAUCCAAUAGCCAUAACAAUCAUCGCUUGCUGUGCAGAACCUCGGAGCGGCCGAGGUCUCCAGCUGUGGCGAUGCUCCAGGCCUAGGUUAGGCACAGCGAGGAGGCCACAUUAGUGGGCAGCUUCCACAUGGGCAUAACCUGGGGAGCAACUCCUUGCUCCAGCCCCACACCCUGAGGAGCGCUGUCCCCACCAUGCCAAAGGAUUGUGAGCCACAGGAUGCCCUGGCACCCUCCCAGCCACCAGUCCACAGUCGAGGAGUUAAUAACCAGGAUCCCCAUGGAAACAAACAGACUUUGCAAAAGAAUACACUGGCUUCCUGUUCCCAUAGGUGCUCUGGAAGACCUUGCCCAUUGCAGCCCCCAAGUCCUCCUUCAUGGCCCAAGUCUUCGUCCACCCCUGAGACAUCCUUCACAGGCUCGGUCCUCUCUUGCUGCUGUCACCAGACCGAUGAACCCUCCCAUGACAGAAAAUCUGUGCAGAUAACACCGAGGUCACUGGUUCCACUCGCAAACUCAGCCACCUCUCCUGAACCCAUCAGCUCUGCCCUCACUUCCUCUGGAGCUGCAGCUCCUCAGCAUCCCUGCAUAACAUGGCCAGCCCCCUGGGGAGACUAAGGAAGUGGGACAAUGAGUGCCAAGGGGCUGUCACUAUAGAGCGCAGAGCUCUAUGGCUUGGCCAAGUUACAGCAGAGACCUGCCCCAAGGGAAGGGGUCUCAGCCAGGCACUGGCUGUGACCCACCUGAAGCUACCCAUCGGCUCGUUCUGCUGGGGGUGAAAAGCAGCAGAUGGAAAUGUCUCCACCUCUCAUCACUGACGCACUAAGGCAGGGGACACCCCACCUCCACCUCACACCCCAUGCCCCAGCCCGAGCGCUGGAGCAUCUUUGCCCAGGGCACUCUACAGGCAGGACUGGCUGUUGUUUGUGACCCGGAUGCUGUGUCCCUGUGCCAGGCUGCUCCCCUGCCACACCAGCCCAUGAGGAACGGGGUGCCUGAGUUCACCUACUUGAUGGAGACAGGCAAUGGCCAGGGCAGAAAGGCAGGGAGGGCAAGGCGGGUACCUGGAGGAGAAGCAAACACAAGUUGCUACGAAAGGCAAAACCUCCCUGAUAUUUCUCCUUUUAGGAAACUUGGAAACAUCUAUUUUAUGACAUUUUCCAGUGGUUUUGCCUUGUUUUAUAGCAAUUGACAAUAUUUAUAUAAUGACAUAAACCACCAUAAAGUGAGGCAGCCGUGUAAAUAGGUGUAAAGUGGAGGGCUCCUGGGGAAGCACUGGCCAAUGCUGGGCUGCUGGAGACACCACCAGGAGGGAGCGAGCUCUGCUGAGCCUUCCCCUGCAGCCACAGGGCCCCUCUGGAAUCAGUUUGGGUAUUAGCAGAGAAAUCCCACCCUGGGCAUCAAGUGACACCCCCCCCCCAGGUCUGUGUUCUCUCCCCUUACCCAGAGCAGACUCAGUUUUCCCUCCUGCAGAGCUCGAGGAGAACCAACAGUUUUUCUGUCAAGGGAACCCAAGCCACCAAGUUUUGAAAGACAAAAUCUGACCUAAAAUGUCCAAACGGAUGCUUUAAGCCCCAAAAGUGGGAUUUGGAUGCUCUGCUGUGGCAAGCAUCAACUGGUGCCAGGGACACCCCGCACCAGCUGCAGACAGCUUGUCCUUGGUCAGCCAGGAUGCCUUUGGACUAUGGGAGAUCUUCAAAUGGCCUAAAAGCAACCAGAUCCAACCCAUCUGGAGAGAAGGAAGGCAAAGCCAUGGGACAUGGGACUUAGGAAAUGCCCAUCGAGCAUGCCUGGACAUCUAACAUUUACUCUGAUUUUCCAACCUUGGCAAGCACAGCCAUCCUCCCCAGCACAGCCUUAACACCAACCAAAUCCACCCAGGGACAAGCCUCAGCCCCUUCCCCAGUCCCAAUGGUUUGGGGGGCUGCAGAAGAACCAUUACCUCCCCAUGACAGGACCCCUCCAAGCACUGACACAACCUGGGAAAUCAUAAGGAAAUGGAGUCUGCACAAGACACAAAACAAGUCAGAGCCCACCACAGCCAGAGCCACCCACAGAAGCGAGGACUCCAUCCCUGCCCCUCCAGGACUCCAUCUCUCAAUCCCUGCUGGAGUUUUGUGCUUUUCAGCCAGAAUAGAAAAGCUCCUUCACUCCGUCCACAGUCCCCCAGUGCCCCUCACAUGCUCCCAGUAACCUUGAUCUGCAGAGCUGCUGGUGUUACUGGUGCACAGCCCAUCCUGUCUGGGGGAGGCAGAAUAGCCUGUUUCGGGGUGUCCGGG